rnacentral:rRNA from 1 species
UACAGAGGUCUCAAGCGUUGUUCGGAUUCAUUGGGCGUAAAGGGUGCGUAGGCGGCGCGGUAAGUCGGGUGUGAAAUCUCGGAGCUUAACUCCGAAACUGCAUUCGAUACCGCCGUGCUUGAGGACUGGAGAGGAGACUGGAAUUUACGGUGUAGCGGUGAAAUGCGUAGAUAUCGUAAGGAAGACCAGUGGCGAAGGCGGGUCUCUGGACAGUUCCUGACGCUGAGGCACGAAGGUCAGGGGAGCAAACGGG